GAUGCAUCCUGAGCAGGAGGAUUGAGCUAGCCAUGACCUUGUCCAGGGACUUCAGUCAGUGACUACAGAGUCAAUCUAUAGACAUGUUUUCUAGACUGAGGAGUCUACUUGGGAGAAAAAAAAUGGGAGCAUGGUGAGACCAGAGAAAGGCAGAAGGAAGCUGUCCUUCCAUCUGAGAGUCAUUCAGGAAGAAAGAAACGGUCCUGAAGACAUAGUCCUGGGAAGGGGGUGCCAAGCUUCCUGGAGGAGGUGACUUGAAGUGGGUUCAAAUAAUGUCACACUGGAACUGGAGCCUCUGGGUUGCAAAUGGACAUUGGGACUUGGGUACAUCAUGGGAAAAAGGAGUCCAUGGGCUGGUGAGAUGGCUCAGUGGUUAAGAGUGCCGACUGCUCUUCCGAAGGUCCCGAGUUCAGAUCCCAGCAACCACAUGGUGGCUCAUAACCAUCCAUAACGAAAUCUGAUGCUCUCUUCUGGAGUGUCUGAGGACAGCUACAGUGUACUUACAUAUAAUAAAUAAAUAAAUCUUUAAAAAAAACAUGGAAAGAAUGGAGGAAAUGUUGCAGUAUGUGGUGAAACUGAAGAUGGCCAUCAAGCAAAAGGAGUUAGCAUAGAAGCUGCAGCAUCACUUUGAGGACCUUCAGGUGAAGUUUGAUAAGUAGCAGCAGGAGAUGGAACUGGCCACAGCCCAGGAAGAGAGAGUCCUGCAGAAAGACCUGCUGUAUCAGGAGCCCCCUGCUGAGCCCCAUCCACUGAAACCACAGAAUCCCUUGGGUGGGUUUGCUUUAACAUAGUAUAUUUCCUCAGUGUGAAUAGGCCCUGAUUUUAUGGAGCCCGGGAGCCACCAGUCUUCUUCUGGGUCUGCUUCCCUUUGAUUUUUGAGAACUCCUCCUGAGAGAACUGGUGGGUUUGCCCUUCCAAUAAGUGUGGAAGACCACGCACAGGCUGCAUGUCGGUGCU
rnacentral:lncRNA from 1 species